GGAGAAUCAGAACAAGGGGAAGCAAACUCCCUGCUUUACCAGCAAGACAGUGCUCCUCCUUUACCAGCAGUGUAUAGGUAAAUGGCAUUGAAUUCCCCCGGCCCACAGCAAGCAACCCACCAGGCAUUUCUCGCCCCACUGGGAGACUUUCAUAAAGGCAGUGACAAGUCCAGAGGAACAAUAGUGCAUCAGAAUGUUUCAAUGGCUGUGGAAUAAAUUUAGAGUGACGUAAUCAGCGGAAGACUGUGAGGA